rnacentral:rRNA from 1 species
GAUGAACGCUAGCGGCAGGCUUAACACAUGCAAGUCGAGGGGCAGCGUGAAGAAGUAGCAAUACGGAUUUGACGGCGACCGGCGCACGGGUGCGUAACGCGUAUGUAAACCUACCUUUAACAGGGGAAUAACACUGAGAAAUUGGUACUAAUACCCCAUAACACUAUAGGAGGCAUCUCCUUUGGUUGAAAGUUCCGGCGGUUAAAGAUGGACAUGCGUUGUAUUAGCUAGAUGGUGAGGUAACGGCUCACCAUGGCGACGAUACAUAGGGGGACUGAGAGGUUAACCCCCACACUGGUACUGAGACACGGACCAGACUCCUACGGGAGGCAGCAGUGGGGGAUAGUUGCGCAAUGGGGGAAACCCUGACGCAGCAACGCCGCGUGAAGGA